CUUGGACGAGAGGGGUAUGGAACCUGCAAGGAAUUGCAGUAAAAUAUGAACACAAUGAAUCCAUAUAAAGAAGCUAAAGGAAAGACAAGACAUAAGAUUCAAAUUGCAGUAAAAUAUAAACACUCCAAUCAUGUUACAGUGUUGUUAAGGCGCCUUUUUUUAUUAUUUUUUUUAUUUUUUUAAAAAAGCAAAGAUUAAAAAACCCAACCUUCGCCUCUCAUUUUGACACCACCAGCAGCUGGAAAACAAGGUCAGACCACAACAGCACCGGCGCAGAUAAUUUUCUCUCAUCCUUCCUCUCCCUUUCUCUUAUCUUUUUCUUCUUUCCUCUCUCUCCUCUCCUCUUCUUCUAUUCUUCUCUUCUCUUCUCCUUCUUCUCUUCUUCUAUUUCUUUUAGUCACACCACAGCAACUCAACAACACUUUUUUUCUUUUGAACUUUUUCUUUUCUUCCCUCCUCCUCCUCCUCCUCUCUUUUUCU
rnacentral:misc_RNA from 1 species